CCGUCCGCCGGGGCCGCGGGCGGCGGCUCGGGCGCCUCGGGGGCGGCCGGUGCCUCGCUCGGCGCCUCCGUCCGCUCCGCGGGCGCGGGCGGG
rnacentral:tRNA from 1 species